GCGUGCAUAGUUUAUCCGGCUAAAACCCCUGCCCUCCAAGCAGGUAAAGAGGGUUCGACACCCGCUGCACGCU
rnacentral:tRNA from 1 species